rnacentral:rRNA from 1 species
AUGGAGAGAGGGACUACGGGCUCCUCCGGCGUACCUGACGAUACGUCGUCUAGCCAUGUCAUCAAAGUGUCGCCCCGUGAAGUGCUCUGCGUGGGAGCCGUGUGCUGGGCGGUGUGGAGGUACUUCCGGUACAUCACAUGCCUGCACACCUACGGCCGGGACAUGACGGCCAUGGCCGGCAAGGCCGAUCCGGUGAUCGGGCGUGACGACGAGAUUGAUCGCGUCAUCCGCAUCCUCUGUCGCCGGACCAAGAACUGCGCCGCGCUUGUCGGCGCCGCCGGGGUCGGCAAGACGGCCAUCGCCGAGGGCCUCGCGCAGCGCAUCGUCGCCGGGAAGGUCCCGUCCAAGCUCGCCGGAGCGCGUGUCAUUGAGCUCAACCUCAUGGCGAUGGUGUCUGGUACGAUGUAUGUUGGCAUGUCCGAGGAGCGCAUGACGGACUUUCUCAAGAAGGUGGCGGCUGCACGCGGCAAGGUGAUCCUGUUCGUCGACGAGAUGCACAUGCUUCUCGGCGCCGGAGCGGCCACGGGCACCCACAUGGACGCGGCCAACAUGCUGAAGCCAGCAUUGGCUCGCGGCCAUAUAAGAUGUCUGGGCGCCACUACUGACGAUGAGUACUCCAUGUAUAUCGAGAAGGAUCCUGCACUCGAGCGGCGGUUCCAAAAGGUGCACGUUGAGGAGCCGAGCACGCAUUCCACCAUUGCCAUCCUCCAGGGGCUUAAACCCCGGUACCAGAAGCAUUAUGGCUUGGAAAUUCUUGAUGCUACCAUUGACGCUGCCGUACACCUCGCUGACCGCUAUAUCGCAGGUCGUCGGUUUCCUGAUAAGGCAAUUGAUCUCAUUGACGAGGCCUGCACGACAUUAGAGCUAGGAGGAGAAAAUACAGUUGUUGCGCCGAAUCAUGUUGCACAGGUUGUGAGCGGAUGGACUGGAAUUCCUAUAGCUACGCUUAAUCAAGAGGAGAGUGUCAAAUUAAUUCACUUAGCCGACAGAUUGCAUGAGAGAAUAGUUGGGCAGGAUGAGGCCGUCAAUUUAGUUGCAGAAGCAGUGUUGCGUUCCAGGAUUGGCCUUCACCAAGCUGGUCAGCCGAUAGGCUCCUUCCUCUUUUUGGGCACGACGGGUGUUGGAAAAACUGAACUUGCGAAAGCUCUUGCAGAACAACUAUUUGGUAGUGAGAAGAUGAUGCUUCGCUUUGAUAUGUCUGAGUAUGUUAGUCCCGAAUCCGUGCUACGUCUCGUUGGAGCACCCCCAAGCUAUCAUGGUUAUGAAAAUGGUGGACAACUGACCGAGAAAGUUAGGAGGCGCCCAUACAGUGUUGUCCUUUUUGAUGAGGUGGAGAAGGCAUAUCCGUCAGUGUUGAAUGUUUUUCUUCAGCUCCUUGACGAUGGUGUGUUGACUGAUGGUAAAGGGCAUAAUGUGGAUUUCAAGAAUACAAUUAUCAUUAUGACUUCGAAUGUUGGGGCAGAGCACCUAAAUGUAGGAGUGGUUGGAGAAAAGACAACGGUUGCUUCGCGAAAUCUUCUCAUGAAACAGGUUCAAAAAUGCUUCAAGCCCGAAUUUAUCAACAGAUUAAGCGAGAUUGUAGUAUUUGAGCCGCUUUCACACCGUCAACUGAAAGAGAUAGUGAAUAUCCAAAUGAAGAGUGCCUUUGCUAGAGUAGCCGGCAAGGGCAUAUCUCUUGUUCUAAGUGAUGCUGCGUUGGAUGUCAUUUUGUCAGAAUCACACAACCCAUUGUAUGGUGCAAGGCCCAUAAAAAGGUGGAUAGAGAAGAACAUAAUGACAACUAUCUCCAAGAUGCUGGUCAAUGGAGAAGCUGUUGAAGGAUCAACAAUCUCCAUUGACUCUACCAGUGACAAGAAAGGCUUGAAAUACCAAUUGGCAAAGAAAAAUGCGACGGAUCCGUGA